rnacentral:rRNA from 1 species
GGAUUAACGCUGGCGGCAUGCCUAAUACAUGCAAGUCGAACGGAGGUGCUUGCACCUCAGUGGCGAACGGGUGAGUAACACGUAUCUAAUCUACCUUCUAGCGGGGGAUAACUUUUGGAAACGAAAGGUAAUACCGCAUGUGGAUGUUAUUAUCGCAUGAGAAAACAUUCAAAGAUCCGUUUGGAUCACUAGAAGAUGAGGAUGCGGCGUAUUAGCUAGUAGGCGGGGUAAAGGCCCACCUAGGCGAUGAUACGUAGCCGAACUGAGAGGUUGAUCGGCCACAUUGGGACUGAGAUACGGCCCAGACUCCUACGGGAGGCAGCAGUAGGGAAUUUUUCACAAUGGACGAAAGUCUGAUGAAGCAAUGCCGCGUGAGUGAUGACGGCCUUCGGGUUGUAAAGCUCUGUUGUAAGGGAAGAAAAAAUAGGAGAGGAAAUGCUCUUAUCUUGACGGUACCUUACCAGAAAGCCACGGCUAACUAUGUGCCAGCAGCCGCGGUAAUACAUAGGUGGCAAGCGUUAUCCGGAUUUAUUGGGCGUAUAGGGUGCGUAGGCGGUUUCGCAAGUUUGAGGUUAAAGCCCGGAGCUCAACUCCGGUUCGCCUUGAAAACUGCGGGACUAGAAUAUCAGAGAGGUAAGCGGAAUUCCAUGUGUAGCGGUAAAAUGCGUAGAUAUAUGGAAGAACACCAGUGGCGAAAGCGGCUUACUGGCUGAUUAUUGACGCUGAGGCACGAAAGCGUGGGGAGCAAAUAGGAUUAGAUACCCUAGUAGUCCACGCCGUAAACGUUGAGUACUAAGUAUUGGGGAUUACCUCAGUGCUGCAGCUAACGCAUUAAGUACUCCGCCUGAGUAGUAUGCUCGCAAGAGUGAAACUCAAAGGAAUUGACGGGGACCCGCACAAGUGGUGGAGCAUGUGGUUUAAUUCGAAGCAACACGAAGAACCUUACCAGGGCUUGACAUACAGUGCAAAGCUACAGAGAUGUAGUGGAGGUUAACAUUGAUACAGGUGGUGCAUGGUUGUCGUCAGUUCGUGCCGUGAGGUGUUGGGUUAAGUCCCGCAACGAACGCAACCCUUGUCGUUAGUUACUAACAUUAAGUUGAGGACUCUAACGAGACUGCUAGUGUAAGCUAGAGGAAGGUGGGGAUGACGUCAAAUCAUCAUGCCCCUUAUGUCCUGGGCUACACACGUGCUACAAUGGCCGAUACAAAGAGUCGCAAUCUCGCGAGGGGGAGCUAAUCUCAAAAAGUCGGUCUCAGUUCGGAUUGAAGUCUGCAACUCGACUUCAUGAAGCCGGAAUCACUAGUAAUCGCGAAUCAGCUAUGUCGCGGUGAAUACGUUCUCGGGUCUUGUACACACCGCCCGUCAAACCACGAGAGUUGGUAAUACCAGAAGUACGUUUCCUAACCGUAAGGAAGGCGCGUCCCAAGGUAGGACUAGCGAUUGGGGUUAAGUCGUAACAAGGUAUCCGUACGGGAACGUGCGGAUGGAUCACCUCCUUUCU